rnacentral:rRNA from 1 species
UACGGAGGCCCCAAGCGUUGUUCGGAUUUAUUGGGCGUAAAGGGUGCGUAGGCGGCAUCGUAAGUCUGGUGUGAAAGGCGUGGGCUCAACCCGCGGACUGCAUUGGAUACUGCGAUGCUAGAGGACUGGAGAGGAGAAUGGAAUUCACGGUGGAGCAGUGAAAUGCGUAGAUAUCGUGAGGAACACCUGCGGCGAAGGCGGGUAGCUGGGCCGACACUGACGCUGAGGCGCGAAAGCCAGGGGAGCGAACGGG